rnacentral:rRNA from 1 species
ACGGGUGGAGUAACGCGUGGGUAACCUGCCUCAUACAGGGGGAGUAACAGUUAGAAAUAGACUGCUAAUACCGCAUAAGCGCACAGUGCUGCAUGGCACAGUGUGAAAAACUCCGGUGGUAUGAGAUGGACCCGCGUCUGAUUAGCUAGUUGGUGGGGUAACGGCCUACCAAGGCGACGAUCAGUAGCCGGCCUGAGAGGGUGAACGGCCACAUUGGGACUGAGACACGGCCCAAACUCCUACGGGGAGGCAGCAUG